GUGGGGAAUAUUGGACAAUGGGCGCAAGCCUGAUCCAGCCAUGCCGCGUGUGUGAAGAAGGCCUUCGGGUUGUAAAGCACUUUUGUUGGGAAAGAAAUCCUGUCGGCUAAUACCCGGCGGGGAUGACGGUACCCAAAGAAUAAGCACCGGCUAACUUCGUGCCAGCAGCCGCGGUAAUACGAAGGGUGCAAGCGUUACUCGGAAUUACUGGGCGUAAAGCGUGCGUAGGUGGUUCGUUAAGUCAGAUGUGAAAGCCCCGGGCUCAACCUGGGAAUUGCAUGUGAUGCUGGCGGACUAGAGUGCGGUAGAGGAGAGUGGAAGUCCCGGUGUAGCAGUGAAAUGCGUAGAGAUCGGGAGGAACAUCAGUUGCGAAGGCGGCUCUCUGGACCAGCACUGACACUGAGGCACGAAAGCGUGGGGAGCAAACAGGAUUAGAAACCCUAGUAGUCC
rnacentral:rRNA from 1 species